CGUAGGGUGCAGGCGUUAAUCGGAAUUACUGGGCGUAAAGCGUGCGCAGGCGGUCUCUUAAGACAGGUGUGAAAUCCCCGGGCUUAACCUGGGAACUGCGCUUGUAACUGAGAGGCUAGAGUGUGGCAGAGGGGGGUGGAAUUCCACGUGUAGCAGUGAAAUGCGUAGAGAUGUGGAGGAACACCGAUGGCGAAGGCAGCCCCCUGGGCUAACACUGACGCUCAUGCACGAAAGCGUGGGGAGCAAACAGGAUUAGAUACCCUGGUAGUCCACGCCCUAAACUAUGUCAACUGGUUGUCGGGGAAGCAAUUCCUUGGUAACGAAGCUAACGCGUGAAGUUGACCGCCUGGGGAUACGGCCGCAAGGUUA
rnacentral:rRNA from 1 species